rnacentral:rRNA from 1 species
UGGGGAAUAUUGCGCAAUGGGCGAAAGCCUGACGCAGCGACGCCGCGUGAGGGAUGAAGGUUUUCGGAUCGUAAACCUCUUUCAGAAGGGAAGAAACCGCACUGUGCUAAUCAGCAGUGCCUUGACGGUACCUUCAAAGGAAGCACCGGCUAACUCCGUGCCAGCAGCCGCGGUAAUACGGAGGGUGCAAGCGUUAAUCGGAAUUACUGGGCGUAAAGCGCACGUAGGCUGCUUUGUAAGUCAGGGGUGAAAUCCCACGGCUCAACCGUGGAACUGCCUUUGAUACUGCUUAGCUUGAAUCCGGGAGAGGGUGGCGGAAUUCCAGGUGUAGGAGUGAAAUCCGUAGAUAUCUGGAGGAACAUCAGUGGCGAAGGCGGCCACCGGGACCGGUAUUGACGCUGAGGUGCGAAAGCGUGGGGAGCAAACAGG